GUUGUAUAGUCAAGUAAUUAAGUGCAUGUGGUGGAUGCCUUGGCAGUCAGAGGCGAUGAAAGACGUGAUAGCCUGCGAAAAGCUCCGGGGAGGCGGCAAAUAUCCUUUGAUCCGGAGAUUUCUGAAUGGGGGAACCCACCUACUUUAAGGUAGGUAUUGCAACAUGAAUACAUAGUGUUGCAAGGCGAACGAGGGGAAGUGAAACAUCUCAGUACCCUUAGGAAAAGAAAUCAAUUGAGAUUCCCUCAGUAGCGGCGAGCGAACGGGGAUCAGCCCAUUAAGUUAUGUGUGUUUUAGUGGAACGCUCUGGGAAGUGCGAACGUAGAGGGUGAUAUUCCCGUACACGAAAGGGCACACAUAAUGAUGACGAGUAGGGCGAGGCACGUGAAACCUUGUCUGAAUAUGGGGGGACCAUCCUCCAAGGCUAAAUACUCCUGACUGACCGAUAGUGAACCAGUACCGUGAGGGAAAGGCGAAAAGAACCCCUGUGAGGGGAGUGAAAUAGAUCCUGAAACCGCAUGCAUACAAGCAGUGGGAGCACCUUCGUGGUGUGACUGCGUACCUUUUGUAUAAUGGGUCAGCGACUUAUAUUCAGUAG
rnacentral:rRNA from 1 species